rnacentral:snRNA from 1 species
GGAUGUGAGGGCGAUCUGGCUGCGACAUCUGUCACCUCAUUGAUCGCCAGGGUUGAUUCAGCUGAUCUGGGUGGCUAGGCGGGUGUCCCCUUCCUCCCUCACCGCUCCAUGUGCGUCCCUCCCGAAGCUGCGCGCUUGGUGGAAGAGGAUGACCAUCCCAGAUAAAGGAGAACCGUUCUUCGGUCAAGGGUAUACGAGUAGCUGUGCUCCCCUGCUAGAACCUCCAAACAAGCUCUCAAAGUAUGAUCUUGUUUCACUUCAUAGUUACAUGUCUGAGUAUAUUAUUUGUUACAAUGUUCUAAAAUUAGACAAAGAUCCCUUAGAAAGCAGUAACAUAGUUGUUAGCUAAUUUUU